CCUAGUUUACAACUCCCAAACCCCUGUGAACAUACCACUUGUUGCCUCGGCGGAUCAGCCCGCUCCCGGUAAAACGGGACGGCCCGCCAGAGGACCCCUAAACUCUGUUUCUAUAUGUAACUUCUGAGUAAAACCAUAAAUAAAUCA
rnacentral:misc_RNA from 1 species